UGACAGUGGGCCAUGAUCAGUACACGU
rnacentral:piRNA from 1 species